UAAUACAUGCAGUCGAGCGGACAGAUGGGAGCUUGCUCCCUUAUGUUAGCGGCGGACGGGUGAGUAACACGUGGGUAACCUGCCUGUAAGACUGGGAUAACUCCGGGAAACCGGGGCUAAUACCGGAUGCUUGAUUGAACCGCAUGGUUCAAUUAUAAAAGGUGGCUUUUAGCUACCACUUACAGAUGGACCCGCGGCGCAUUAGCUAGUUGGUGAGGUAACGGCUCACCAAGGCAACGAUGCGUAGCCGACCUGAGAGGGUGAUCGGCCACACUGGGACUGAGACACGGCCCAGACUCCUACGGGAGGCAGCAGUAGGGAAUCUUCCGCAAUGGACGAAAGUCUGACGGAGCAACGCCGCGUGAGUGAUGAAGGUUUUCGGAUCGUAAAACUCUGUUGUUAGGGAAGAACAAGUACCGUUCGAAUAGGGCGGUACCUUGACGGUACCUAACCAGAAAGCCACGGCUAACUACGUGCCAGCAGCCGCGGUAAUACGUAGGUGGCAAGCGUUGUCCGGAAUUAUUGGGCGUAAAGCGCGCGCAGGCGGUUUCUUAAGUCUGAUGUGAAAGCCCCCGGCUCAACCGGGGAGGGUCAUUGGAAACUGGGGAACUUGAGUGCAGAAGAGGAGAGUGGAAUUCCACGUGUAGCGGUGAAAUGCGUAGAGAUGUGGAGGAACACCAGUGGCGAAGGCGACUCUCUGGUCUGUAACUGACGCUGAGGCGCGAAAGCGUGGGGAGCGAACAGGAUUAGAUACCCUGGUAGUCCACGCCGUAAACGAUGAGUGCUAAGUGUUAGAGGGUUUCCGCCCUUUAGUGCUGCAGCAAACGCAUUAAGCACUCCGCCUGGGGAGUACGGUCGCAAGACUGAAACUCAAAGGAAUUGACGGGGGCCCGCACAAGCGGUGGAGCAUGUGGGUUAAUUCGAAGCAACGCGAAGAACCUUACCAGGUCUUGACAUCCUCUGACAACCCUAGAGAUAGGGCUUCCCCUUCGGGGGCAGAAUGACAGGUGGUGCAUGGUUGUCGUCAGCUCGUGUCGGGAGAUGUUGGGUUAAGUCCCGCAACGAGCGCAACCC
rnacentral:rRNA from 1 species